UACGGGGGGGGCAAGCGUUGUUCGGAAUUACUGGGCGUAAAGGGCUCGUAGGCGGCCAACUAAGUCGGACGUGAAAUCCCCAGGCUCAACCUGGGAACUGCGUCCGAUACUGGAUGGCUUGAAUCCGGGAGAGGGAUGUGGAAUUCCAGGUGUAGCGGUGAAAUGCGUAGAUAUCGGGAGGAACACCAGUGGCGAAGGCGACUUCCUGGCCUGUUCUUGACGCUGAGGCGCGAAAGCUAGGGGAGCAAACGGG
rnacentral:rRNA from 1 species